rnacentral:rRNA from 1 species
GUAGGUGGCAAGCGUUGUCCGGAAUUAUUGGGCGUAAAGCGCGCGCAGGCGGUUCUUUAAGUCUGAUGUGAAAGCCCACGGGCUCAACCGUGGAGGGUCAUUGGAAACUGGAGAACUUGAGUACAGAAGAGGAAAGCGGAAUUCCACGUGUAGCGGUGAAAUGCGUAGAGAUGUGGAGGAACACCAGUGGCGAAGGCGGCUUUCUGGUCUGUAACUGACGCUGAGGAGCGAAAGCGUGGGGAGCAAACAGGAUUAGAUACCCUGGUAGUCCACGCCGUAAACGAUGAGUGCUAAGUGUUAGGGGGUUUCCGCCCCUUAGUGCUGCAGCUAACGCAUUAAGCACUCCGCCUGGGGAGUACGGCCGCAAGGCUG